UAAUACGUAGNUCCCGAGCGUUGUCCGGAUUUAUUGGGCGUAAAGCGAGCGCAGGCGGUUAGAUAAGUCUGAAGUUAAAGGCUGUGGCUUAACCAUAGUACGCUUUGGAAACUGUUUAACUUGAGUGCAGAAGGGGUGAGUGGAAUUCCAUGUGUAGCGGUGAAAUGCGUAGAUAUAUGGAGGAACACCGGUGGCGAAAGCGGCUCUCUGGUCUGUAACUGACGCUGAGGCUCGAAAGCGUGGGGAGCGAACAGGAUUAGAUACCCUGGUAGUCCACGCCGUAAACGAUGAGUGCUAGGUGUUAGGCCCUUUCCGGGGCUUAGUGCCGCAGCUAACGCAUUAAGCACUCCGCCUGGGGAGUACGACCGCAAGGUUGAAACUCAAAGGAAUUGACGGGGGCCCGCACAAGCGGUGGAGCAUGUGGUUUAAUUCGAAGCAACGCGAAGAACCUUACCAGGUCUUGACAUCCCGAUGCCCGCUCUAGAGAUAGAGUUUUACUUCGGUACAUCGGCGACAGGUGGUGCAUGGUUGUCGUCAGCUCGUGUCGUGAGAUGUUGGGUUAAGUCCCGCAACGAGCGCAACCCUUAUUGUUAGUUGCCAUCAUUCAGUUGGGCACUCUAGCGAGACUGCCGGUAAUAAACCGGAGGAAGGUGGGGAUGACGUCAAAUCAUCAUGCCCCUUAUGACCUGGGCUACACACGUGCUACAAUGGCUGGUACAACGAGUCGCAAGUCGGUGACGGCAAGCUAAUCUCUUAAAGCCAGUCUCAGUUCGGAUUGUAGGCUGCAACUCGCCUACAUGAAGUCGGAAUCGCUAGUAAUCGCGGAUCAGCACGCCGCGGUGAAUACGUUCCCGGGCCUUGUACACACCGCCCGUCACACCACGAGAGUUUGUAACACCCGAAGUCGGU
rnacentral:rRNA from 1 species